UACACCAGGUGGCAUUUGGAACUCUGUCCAGUCUUUAGAAAGUUGUGUAAUUGGUCUGUGAUGAGAAAUCAUGCACCACGCUGAACUUGUGAUGGAUAACCUCUACCACAUUAUCUGAGACCUGCACAGACAUGGUUACAAAUAAAUACUGGUUCAUAAGGCUGGGUUGUGAAUGCUUGGUUCUGGUUUCCCUGACAUGGAUUAAGCCUACUUCUGGGCUAAAGCUAUUUUUAUGGCAAAUCCAUAUAGGCCCCUACUAACAGUUUAAUGGGCUUGUUUCUCAGAAGACCAGUUUUACCAAUGGUCCUUCUUGGUGGUUCUUUCCCUUUGUGAUGUAACGGUCUACAAUGCCACUUACAAUGAGCGGGCAGACAAACGAACCAAUGAUGGCACGGCUGCCCUAUUCAGUGGGCAUAUAGAACCAGCCUGAUAUGCCCAGGUAUCAUAUCCUGUCCUCUCGGUGAGGGGGAUAUGACCUAUUAAUCGAGCACAUUUGAUCUUGGUGUGACUGAUGCUUUAGAACAGGUGUAUUGAACACUUGCUAUAGGACAGGGUUUCCCCAAAAUGUCCGGUUGACCCCAAGGGGUGCACAUUUUGGGUUUUGUCUAAGCACUACACAGCUGAUUUUAAAUAAUCAACUAAUCAUCAAGCUUUAAUAAUUUCAAUCAGUUGUUGGUGCAAAAACCAAAACGAUACCCUUCAAGGUCUGGAGCCUGCUGGUGUUCUGCUCUACCUGAUAAUUGCACCCGCCUGGGGUCCCAGUGAUUUAGAGGAAACCAACUCAGUGGAACUGGCUUUGAGAUAAAGGUUGGUCUGGGGGUGCAGCACUGCUUGCUGACUUACUGGUUAGUGGGUCAUGUGACGCCACAAGCCACGGAUGUGAAGCUGCCAAUGCGAAACUGGUAUACCGCUGGUUGGUGUCCUAGCGGCUGUGACCUGGAAGUAGCAGAAUGAUUGCCGCCUUUCCUCCCUGAAAGAAUGCUGUGCAGUGUGCACAUAACAGCGAUAAAGGAUGGUCUGGGGGUGCAGCAGUGCUGACCUACUGGUUAUAGUGGGGGGCGCCACAAGCCACGAUGUGAAGCUGCCAAUGAGAAAUUGGUAUAUUGGUGUCCUAGCAGAUGUAACCUGGAAGUAGCAGAAUGAUUGCCGCCUUUCCUCCCUGAAAGAAUGCUGUGCACAGAACGAGUCUGGCAGUGUGGGGUUGACAUGGAGCCACAGGUCAUUAUGGGACAGGUGCUGAAGAAUGACUGAAGAUGAAAGGUGGCAGUACCUUAGAAGAAAGCAGAUUGUUCAGUUGCUGGUCCAAGACUCGGGUGCCAUUUGAUUUUGUGUAUGCAGCUGCCACUAUUAUAGCCAUUAGAUGCUGUUAAACUGAGCUCGCUGUGAUUAAGUUUCUGGUUAUCACACGGAAACCCUUCACUCGGUGACUUAGGUGAAAUUGGCUCAACAAAUAAAUAAACGAUGUACCUGCCCUGUUUGAUUUGAAUAAAUGUAUUGCUUUCAAGAUAAUUCAAAUAAGCUCAAGCUGAUCUGUG